AGUUGGCUCAGUGGUAGAGUGCUUGCCUUGCAUGCAUGAGGCAAGGGUUCGAUUCCUCAGCACUA
rnacentral:tRNA from 1 species